rnacentral:rRNA from 1 species
GGGAGGUAGUGACAAUAAAUAACAAUACGGGGCUCUUUCGGGUCUCGUAAUUGGAAUGAGUACAAUUUAAAUCCCUUAACGAGGAACAAUUGGAGGGCAAGUCUGGUGCCAGCAGCCGCGGUAAUUCCAGCUCCAAUAGCGUAUAUUAAAGUUGUUGCAGUUAAAAAGCUCGUAGUUGAAUUUCGGGAUUGGCGCAUCGGUCGUGCCUUACGGGGUAUGAACUGGUGCAGUCAAUUUCUCACCUUCUGGAGAACCGCGAUGUCCUUAAUUGGGUGCCGCGGGGAACCAGGACCUUUACUUUGAAAAAUUAGAGUGUUUAAAGCAGGCAUUUUUGCUUGAAUACAUUAGCAUGGAAUAAUAAAAUAGGACGGCAUGGUUCUAUUUUGUUGGUUUCUAGGACCACCGUAAUGAUUAAUAGGGAUAGUUGGG